AGUGUAGCGAGUAUGCGAGCGGAUCUAACAUCUAAUUUUAAUUAGAUUGUUAUCAUCACCUUUUUCAUUUGUUGCAAAAUAUCAUUAUUAAAGUUCGUGUAGAGAAGCUACUGGUCCCUAUUGUUAAAAUCUUUGCUUUGAAAUUAUUUUUCGUGCAGAAUUAUGGUUUCAAUAACAAAAAAGGACCACAGCGUUUAGUCGUGUUUUCUAUUAAGAUGUUUUUAAACGUUUAUCAUGAAAACUCUUUUGAGCAAAUAAGGAAAUCCUUAACACUGGGAAUAGCAAACACUUUCAUUUUAUUGAAUAGAAUUAAUAGCUUCCUUUAAAUAAAAAAAAUAAGUUAUACUUCCUUUACAAGGAACAUGAGGAAAAACUGCUUUGUCUCUACGUAAAAGACUACAUGUAGUUAAAGUUUUAAAAGGACCUAAAAAUUACAUUUGUUUGAAAGCAUUUUUGUCAUUUGCUGUAAUGCAUCAUGUUCUUGUUGUGUUUGAUUCCAAAAGCAAGUUCAUAUAUCUGCUUUCUGAUAAAAUGUUUAUGUUUGUUUGUUUGUAUGUUCUUUUACCUCCCUCUCAAAAAUAUUUUUGGAGACACAGCCACUUGCUGCAAACUGGAGAGCUUCAAACUUUGUUCUAUACUUGGCUUUCAUUAAUCAGAGAGGUGUCAUUUUCGUGCCAGCACUUACUGCGCCACGGGACCUCGGUUCAUACGGUCUCAUUCGAAAGAUCGAUCUCCACGUCCCACAGUAGAAUUCGAACCCGCGACGUAAGGAUCUACUCCUUACUUCUAUAUACUAGAGCAGAGGCUGUGCCACAAAGGCUACGAAUGUUUACGUCAAAUCUUUCCUAUGAAAGUGUUCUAUUGAUAUUAAACUUUUUUCGAGAAUUUCUACUUUUGAUGCAUAAAUUUUUCAAUUAGUUAAUUAGUUAAGAUGUCUUAUUGAUAUGCAGAGAAAUAUUAUUAUGUUGAUAUCUUUAUUAGUUUUAUCCAAGGUCUAGUACAUCAGCUAGUAACUAUGUAAUAGAUUCUCUAUACAGAUUUUUUUCUGACUCUUAAAACCUGAAACAUCUUGCAAAUUGUAAGACCAUGACCCUUUUACUUUUUUAGGUUUGGUGCUGACUGUCAACAGAAAUAUAUCUGUUGGCCAAUUUCUUUGAUGACGAGGUGUCACCUUGCCGUCUAUGAGAUUGGUCUUUUCUGUGGACAGUGAGAAACGAUCUCUACAGGUUACUGGUGUAACAGGAAAGGAGAAAAUGUAUGGCUGGACCGGGAAUAGAACUCGGGACCCCUCCGUCUCCACUCAGAUGCUCUAUAAACUUAGCUAUCCAGGACGAUAUCCACUACCCGAACCAUUAUAUUCCUCCCUCCUUAAGUUGUCUUCGCCCUCGGAGACUAUCAUUAUAACAAGCUACAAGGUUUUUAUAACCUCCUAGCAGGACUUUCACCUGCAAUAUAGAGGUGGUUGACGGCAGGAAAUCUUCAAUAGAGCGGAGAAAAUGUAUGGCUGGACCGGAAAUAGAGCCCGGGACCCCUGCAUCUCCAGUUAGGUGCUCUAGCAACUUAGCUAUCCAGGCCAAUUAAUAUAUCUACGGCCCAAACCAUUACACUGAUAUGCAACGACUGAGUUUUUACUCAGUGAUUUACUAAUAAUCACAUCUCUGAAAUUUUUAAUAACCAUCUAAAUUUGGUGUUUAUACUAAGUAAUGGUCAGGGCCAUGGUAAAGGUAGAUUAACACAUUAUUUUUCGUAUGUAUAACAUAAGAAUGAUUUUCUUAAAUUGUCAAAUAUGAUUAAUGAUUAAAUGUACGCUAAUUACGCAUCUUGAAUGAAUUAUUGUAUACUAUAUAAGUUGGUUUAAAGGGGGGGGGGGGGGGCUCGCCUCCACGUAUUGGUACUAAGUGGUGAUUAUUUUGCAAAAAUGAAUAAAAUCAAGCUUGUUACAGCAUAUUAAUUAUAUAGUUUGCAGACUUCUAGAUGAACAGGAUAUUAUAGUUUUGUUUAAGGAUCUCGUAAUCAUUUGCAGUUUUAUGAUUCCAUUAUUAGCUUUUGAUACUGAGAGAACAGAUGUGGCAAUAUGUGUAAAGUAUUACCUAAAAGCUGUUAUGUAUUUGUGCUAUUUAUUUACUUGGCUGGAGAAAUUGAUUUGAAAAACUUAUCUAAAAGUAAGUAUUGCUCUUUUAAUUGUACUCUCUCUCUCUCUCUCUCUCUCUCUCUCUCUCUCUCUCUCUCUCUCUCUCUCUCUCUCUCUCUCUCUCUCUGAGAAGAGAUGAAGCGGGAAAUAGAACUAGUAAAACAAGACAAUUAACCCAUGCAUGUCACUUCAUGAAACCAUAGUAUGUAACAUAUUUUAAAUAUUUAACAAACUUUUAUUUUAGACAUGAACUGUUAUUUAGGACAUAUAGAUGGGAAUUGCGAGUUACCCUGCCGCUAUCCAUCCUACGGUAACUAUUGUCAGAAAAAGUGCUAUUGUAAAAAAGAAUACUGUGAUCACGUGAACGGAUGUCGAGAGUGUUCACCGGGUUCCAGGGGACAAAGUUGUGAAUAUAACUGCACAUAUCCAAAUUAUGGUGUAUAUUGUCAGUCAACGUGCGACUGCUUGGAAGAAGAAUGUGAUUAUAUCAUUGGUUGUGAAGGUGAAGAAAGAAAUUGUAAGAUUAUGAAGAAGAUUUUAAAAUUCCAUCAUCCUUUUUUAUCGAAAAAUGUCAGGUUUUUUGCAGGAAAAAAGGAAAUGCAGAAUUUUAAUAUUUGCAAAUAUUAAAACUAAAUCUCUUUAACUAAUUGUCAAAAUUAAAAGAAUUUAUACUGAUAAGAAAGACUUUCUUAGUAACGGGUGGGGCAAAUAAAUGUACUUCGACAAAAGGCAGAAAAAGUUCGAACACCAUGCUUUCUAGUACUAUCGUACUUGGUUUUAUUGCAGUUUUUCAUCAAUUUACUUUAUAUACAUGUAUUUCAAAAUUCUACAAUCCUCAACCGCUGUACAUCACACAAUUUUUAUAUUUCAUUUAUUUUAUAUUCAUCUGUACUUUAAUGUGCUCUCUGUACAUAAAUUGUUCUUCGAACAAUUGUAUCAGAUUGAAUAAUGCGCACCAAGGAUAGGCCAUUUAUUUACAUGUAUUUUCUCUGUAUUUAUGAUUAUUUACAACGAUUUAAAAUGUGAUGGCAUUCAAAACUUCUAAGUGUAAACGAGGACAUAUAAAAUAAGCAAAUAAAACAGUUUAAAAGAAAUAUAUUGAAGUGUAACAAAAAGAAGAAUUCUGACGAUUAUGAUUGAUACAUGUUUGAUCUCUAAUAAGUAGAAUCUGUAAUGUGUGAGAUAUUUUUGUUGAAAGACAUUUAAAGCAAGUAAAAAAGGACUAUCUUUGAAAGGUUUCAAAUAUUUUUUUCUGUCGUUGAUUCAUAAAAGAGAGGUAAUUGUUGAUAUAAAUUUAAAUCAUAAAUACACAUCUGUUUGCCAAUAGGAAUUAAAAAAAUACUUAGAACAGGAAAAUGUGAUCAAAUUUUCAAGUUACGUGCUAUCUAUAAACCAAAUUUCCCGGAAAGAACCGUAUAUGAAUGCCGGUGUCAAAUAUUAGUAGUUCUUUACAUCAGGAGUUUACUCGAUAGCGACUUUUAUUUCAGCUUCAUGUUGAUUCAUUUAAACGUUCUUGAAAUGACAGAGUAUGUUUGUUUCUGGUUAAAAAAUAAAAAUAUAUUUCCUUCAAAUCUGCUUAAAGUCGAGUUGCAUGAUAAUUAGUUGUUAAAUGAAGAAACGUCGAUACAUGCAGUCAGCAUAUUUCAUGUGCACAGGAUUGGUUAAAAGAGGGAUUCUUCUCAUAACAAUCCUUUCUUUUUUUAAUUAAAAAAAUUAAUGAAAUGAAAUGUGAUGGUGGCAACUGAAUUAAAUUUAAUAGUGUUAUUUACGAGCAAGGUCAGGUCAAGGCCAUUAUCAUUCAUUUGUUCCAUAAAGAAUAAGAAAAAAAUAAUAUUGAUCAUGUAAUGCCUUCUUCUACGAGUAUUUCAAAAGUUAAAUAAUUUUAAUAUUAUCAUACGCUUUAUACAUUUAUAAAUAAUCACACUAUAUCAAUGGAAAAAUGUGAUUUCUUAGAAUUUUUAUUAAAACAGUGUCCAGGAGCUUUCAAAUACAUUCUGUCUUUCUGAUGAGUUGUUCUCGAGAAAAGUUUUUUUUUACAUGUACAAAUGUCCCUUUUAUUUAAGUUUUCUAAGACAUUUUGAUUAUCCUUUUAUCUUAUUUCUUCCUGCAUGAACAUAAGUAUAGACAUGACAAAUUUUCUCAUCCCUCCUUUACAUAAUAAUAAAUUUUAUCAUUCAAAAGAAUAGAUUGAAACGCUUUACUAGAAAUUAAAAAAAACAAUUUUUGUCCAUUGUUGGGAAGAAAAAACUCAGUUAUCAGCUUAAUUAAAUUUUGCACUUAUUAGGUUAAUUAAAUGUUGCGCUUAUUAGCUUAAUUAAAUGUUGCGCUUUAUAAUUAACGCUGUUUUCUUUUUCGCAUCGGUCGUAUUAUUCAACGCACUUUGCAUAUCCGCUGAGGCUAUCCAAUACUUCGACCACAUUGGUAUCGUGUAUUUAGAGGAAUUUCAGGGGAUCAUAAAUGAAGAAAGUGGGAGUUUAAAGUAUUAUUACCAGUACAAAAGUCUUCUGAUUUGGCUGUCAUUAAAAUUUUUACAUUAAUUGUAUAAUUAGUAUUUUUAUUUUGAAAUUGAGAAUACUUUUGUAGGAGGAAUGUCAAUUAUUUAUUUAAUUUUAUUUAAAUUAAUAUUUGGAAGCUGUUAUGUAUUAUUGCAAUAAAUGUAUUUGGACGAAGUUUGUUUGAACAACCCAGCAAUCAGUAAGUAGC